rnacentral:rRNA from 1 species
UACGAAGGGGGCUAGCGUUGCUCGGAAUCACUGGGCGUAAAGCGCACGUAGGCGGCUUUUUAAGUCAGAGGUGAAAUCCUGGAGCUCAACUCCAGAACUGCCUUUGAUACUGAGGAUCUUGAGUUCGGGAGAGGUGAGUGGAACUGCGAGUGUAGAGGUGAAAUUCGUAGAUAUUCGCAAGAACACCAGUGGCGAAGGCGGCUCACUGGCCCGAUACUGACGCUGAGGCACGAAAGCGUGGGGAGCAAACAGG